UGGUCCUCGCGCAGCAUCGCUUUACACCGCGAUUGGCCUCCCGUCCGUCCUCGCGCGUCCUCCGUUCGCCGACUGUUCUCGUCCUCAGUCGCCGAGCGCGCGUCCCCCGAGCCGGUUCGAACGUUCGCGCGCGACGACGAGCGAGAGUCCGCGAAUCGGUGCGAACCCGAGUGCGCGUCGGCCAAUCGCGUGGCUGGGAUCGAAGGGUCCAACGGAAAGAAGGUCUCUCGUCGAGGUCCGCGCUCUCGGCCGCGUCGCCCCUGCGCCCUUCGACUCGCGAGCGGACCAAUCAGCGACGAGGUGCCCCUCGGUCGACCAAUCGGAAGCCAGGAAAUCGGUUACCCAGCUAACCUAGGAAGUGGAACUUCGGGAGAAUCGAUCCUCCCGCUCGUGGAUCUCCGUCGGCCAACCUGCGGCCCUUCAACGCAACGGUACUCAAUGAGAAUGAUUCCGCUGGUCUUUCUCCUCGCCCUGACGAGCUCCGGAUGCUGGGGCCACGCGGUCUCCCAGGAUGCCACCAGGGACGAGGACCUGGCCCGACAUUACGGCACUCGGUUCUCCAUAUUCGACGAGCCCUACAACAUCGACUUCAAGUAUCACAACUACGACGAGAUGAGCCGCUUCCUCAGGACCACAUCCCUGCGCUUUCAGAAUCUCACUGCCCUCUACUCCAUAGGAAAGUCCGUGAAAGGCAGAGAUCUCUGGGUGAUGGUGGUGUCUUCCUCGCCAUAUGAGCACAUGAUCGGCAAACCUGACGUCAAGUAUGUCGCCAACAUACACGGAAACGAGGCCGUCGGUCGCGAGCUGAUGCUACAUAUGAUCCACAUGCUGGUUACCAAGUACGGGUCCGAUCAGUACAUCACCUGGCUAUUGGACAACACCAGGAUACACGUUCUUCCGUCCAUGAAUCCCGAUGGCUUCGAGGUGUCCAAGGAAGGCUACUGCGAAGGUGGCCAGGGAAGGUACAACGCUCGAGGCUUCGACCUGAAUCGCAAUUUCCCGGAUUACUUCAAGCAGAACAACAAGAAGAGCCAGCCGGAAACGGAGGCGGUCAAAGAGUGGGUCUCGAAAAUCCAAUUCGUCCUUUCUGGGAGCCUCCACGGCGGCGCCCUGGUCGCCAGCUACCCCUUCGACAAUACACCGAAUUCCCUGUUUCAGAGCUACUCGUCGACGCCGAGCGUCUCCCCUGACGACGACGUGUUCCGGCACCUGUCCCUGACGUACUCUCAGAAUCACGGGUCCAUGUACCGAGGAGAGGCAUGCUCUUCGUCCCAGCCAGGAUUCAAGGAUGGAAUCACGAAUGGCGCCGAAUGGUACCCUCUCACGGGAGGGAUGCAGGACUUCAAUUACGUCUGGAACGGGUGCAUGGAAAUCACCCUGGAGCUGUCUUGCUGCAAAUAUCCUCCGGCUGAAGACCUUCCUUACUACUGGGAGGAGAACCGACUGUCGCUCAUCAAGUUCCUGGCCGAGGCGCACAGAGGCGUGCACGGAUUCGUGAUCGACGAGAACGGCAAUCCCGUCGAGAGGGCCUCCGUCAAGGUGAAAAACCGUGACAUCAGCUUCCUGAGCACGAAGUACGGAGAAUUCUGGAGGAUACUUCUACCUGGACUCUACAAGCUCGAGGUCUACGCCAAUGGAUAUGCCCCCCGAGAGGUCGAGUUCAUGGUUGUCGAGCAACAUCCCACCUUGCUGAACGUGACAUUGCACGCCACCAGGAACUGGAAACCGAAGUCCGGUGUUUGGUCAAUCCCACGGGAUACAGGGAAGACAGAAGUACCGCCUCCCUAUACUCGAAAGCCUGCGGAGAAAGCUGGCGAAAGCACGGUCCAGGAAUCCAUCGACACCGACUCCAUCGUCUUUCCUACUUCCUAAUAUACUAACCGCACGACUAGUCCCUCUAAUUCGGCUAAUCCGGGAAAGAAGAGUAGACAAGAAGACGGCGGAGACGGACCAGGACCGUUCAAUGGCAACUUUCCAAUGCGACCUUAUCCUCAUCGAGACUACACUCUUCACUUCAGGCCAAGUUCCGGAACGAACACUGCCGCCGUUGGAAACAAUGGCAUC
rnacentral:misc_RNA from 1 species